rnacentral:misc_RNA from 1 species
GAUGAAGAACGUAGCGAAAUGCGAUAACUAAUGUGAAUUGCAGAAUUCAGUGAAUCAUCGAAUCUUUGAACGCACAUUGCGCCCCCUGGUAUUCCGGGGGGCAUGCCUGUCCGAGCGUCAUUACAACCCUCAAGCUCAGCUUGGUAUUGGGCCCCGCCGCUCCGGCGGGCCCUAAAGUCAGUGGCGGUGCCGUCCGGCUCCGAGCGUAGUAAUUCUUCUCGCUCUGGAGGUCCGGUCGUGUGCUCGCCAGCAACCCCCAAUUUUUUUCAGGUUGACCUCGGAUCAGGUAGGGAUACCCGCUGAACUUAAGCAUAUCAAUAAGCGGAGGA